UACGGAAGGCAGCAGUGGGGAAUAUUGCACAAUGGGCGAAAGCCUGAUGCAGCUAUGCCGCGUGUAUGAAGAAGGCCUUAGGGUUGUAAAGUACUUUCAUCGGGGAGGAAAAACAAAACUAAUAAUUUUAUUUCUUGACGUUACCCGAAAAAGAAGCACCGGCUAACUCCGUGCCAGCAGCCGCGGUAAUACGGAGGGUGCUAGCGUUAAUCAGAAUUACUGGGCGUAAAGAGCACGUAGGUGGUUUUUUUAAGUCAGAUGUGAAAUCCCUGGGCUUAACCUGGAACUGCAUUUUGAAACUGAAAUACUAGAGUAUCGUAGAGGGAGGUAGAAUUCUAGGUGUAGCGGUGAAAUGCGUAGAUAUCUGGAGGAAUACCUGUGGCGAAAGCGGCCUCCUAAACGAAUACUGACACUGAGGUGCGAAAGCGUGGGGAGCAAACAGGGAUUAGAU
rnacentral:rRNA from 1 species